UACAGAGGUCUCAAGCGUUGUUCGGAUUCAUUGGGCGUAAAGGGUGCGUAGGCGGCGGCGUAAGUUGGGUGUGAAAUCCCAGGGCUCAACCCUGGAACUGCAUUCGAUACUGCGUCGCUGGAGGACUGGAGAGGAGACUGGAAUUCACGGUGUAGCAGUGAAAUGCGUAGAUAUCGUGAGGAAGGCCAGUGGCGAAGGCGAGUCUCUGGACAGUUCCUGACGCUGAGGCACGAAGGCCAGGGGAGCAAACGGG
rnacentral:rRNA from 1 species